rnacentral:lncRNA from 1 species
AUGAAGAAGAGGCCUAUAGUUGCAGAGAAGGCUGACUUAAGAAGCAGGAGGAAAAAUUAUGGCUUGGUAAGAAAGAGGAAGUUUCGCGCGGAUCGGUUUUGCAUAAGUGCUAUAAACGCGGUUCGGUGGAGCUCGGACAGCGGCAGCACAGCGACCGCGGGGUCCUCCGUCACCGAGAGCAUCGGGUUUACUAGGGGACGUACGCGCAUGGAAGCACGCUAUCCCGAAAGUAUUUUAUUAAGCACAGAUCGACUCACCGCUAGAGCAGGAAAAUCGGCUGUUAUAGGAAAAGAAAGGACCAAAUCCUCGUUUUCUCACUUUAAUUUCUGCUAUCCGCGCGGCAGGGAGGCAUGGCGGCUGCGCACCUCCCGGCCGGUCCCGGCGCGGCCGCGGCCCCUCGCAGCCCAGCGCCGCCCGCGCCCGCGGGAGAGGCGCCGCCCGGCUCGGCACCGCGCGUCCCUUCCGCCCGCCGCCCGGUACCGCGGUGGAACAGCGCUGCCGCUCCUUCGCUGCCUCCCGCGCGGGCCGUGA